rnacentral:rRNA from 1 species
AACGUAGGAGGCGAGCGUUAUCCGGAUUUACUGGGCGUAAAGCGCACGCAGGCGGCUCCGUGAGUCGGACGUGAAAGCUCUCGGCUUAACCGGGAGAGGCCGUUCGAUACUGCGGGGCUUGAGGUAGGGAGAGGAAUGCGGAAUUCCCGGUGUAGUGGUGGAAUGCGUAGAUAUCGGGAGGAACACCUGUGGCGAAAGCGGCAUUCUGGCCCUCACCUGACGCUGAGGUGCGAAAGCGUGGGUAGCAAACAGG